CCUACGGGAGGCAGCAGUGAGGAAUAUUGGUCAAUGGGCGAGAGCCUGAACCAGCCAAGUCGCGUGAGGGAAGACGGUCCUAUGGAUUGUAAACCUCUUUUGCCGGGGAGCAAAAAGCGGUACGUGUACCGCAUCGAGAGUACCCGGCGAAAAAGCAUCGGCUAACUCCGUGCCAGCAGCCGCGGUAAUACGGAGGAUGCGAGCGUUAUCCGGAUUUAUUGGGUUUAAAGGGUGCGCAGGCGGCGAGUUAAGUCAGCGGUAAAAUUUCGGGGCUCAACCCCGACAAGCCGUUGAAACUGGCUGGCUAGAGUGGGCUAGAAGUAUGCGGAAUGCGUGGUGUAGCGGUGAAAUGCAUAGAUAUCACGCAGAACUCCGAUUGCGAAGGCAGCAUACCGGCGCCCAACUGACGCUCAGGCACGAAAGCGUGGGUAUCGAACAGGAUUAGAUACCCCGGUAGUC
rnacentral:rRNA from 1 species